UCAUGAUUACAAUAUGAAUGGGAAAAUGUCCUCCAUUCCUAAAAAAAUUUCACUACCUUCACUAAGUUUUUCAUAUAGUAGCAUAGAUGAGUGUUCUGUUUGUAGGUUUGGACACGCCCACUAUUCCCUUGUUUUAUGUGAACCCCAACAGGAACUAACUAUAUAAGUGUAGGUUUAUACAUAAAAUGAUUACAGUGGUAUAUGAAUUAUUUUAAGUAAUGAAUUAAAAAUUAACCAUAUAGAGGUCAAGAUAGAAUAUUAUAUAUAGAGGCACAAAUAUUUUAUCCAAAUCAUAACAUAAAUAAGAUUGAUAGUUGUAUAUGCAGUUCUGAUUUUUACUAUUUAUAUUGAUUUUAUGUAAUGUUUUAAGUGUUUUAAAUAUACAACGAGAUACGUAAAACAUCUUGCUAUUACCCUAUAUGAUCUUCUAUAAUCAGAGGUUGAAUCGAUCAUCAGAAGAAGAAUUAGGCCAAAAAUUAGGAUACAUUCUGGGAAAAUGAAACUAGAAUCGUUGAAGGAGAGAAAGAUCUCUUGUUCUUAUUAGAUUAGAAGAUCGUAAUUUGAUCCGCAUAUGUUUGGUAAAAAGAAUAAUCUUCUCCUUUGAUCAUAAAUGGAAAGUGUUCAAUUGGAACAUGUAAAC